rnacentral:tRNA from 1 species
GCUGGGAUUCCUGAGCGGCCAAAAGGGAUGCGCUGUAGACGCAUUGGCUUUACGCCUACGGAGGUUCGAAUCCUCCUCCCAGCA